UACGUAGGGUGCGAGCGUUAAUCGGAAUUACUGGGCGUAAAGCGUGCGCAGGCGGUGAUGUAAGUCCGAUGUGAAAUCCCCGGGCUUAACCUGGGAACUGCAUUGGUGACUGCAUUGCUGGAGUAUGGCAGAGGGGGGUGGAAUUCCACGUGUAGCAGUGAAAUGCGUAGAGAUGUGGAGGAACACCGAUGGCGAAGGCAGCCUCCUGGGCCAAUACUGACGCUCAUGCACGAAAGCGUGGGGAGCAAACAGG
rnacentral:rRNA from 1 species